AUCGCUUCUCGGCCUUUUGGCUAAGAUCAAGUGUAGUAUCUGUUCUUAUCAGUUUAAUAUCUGAUACGAGGGUAUCUUAGAGGGUAGUGGCAUUGCCCACUCCCUCCGAGGGUCUGUGAGAGGUUUGUUCGGGUGAGGAGGAACAGAAUUUUUUUUUAUUUUUGACUGGCUUUCUUCAGCUCGGCAACUUUU